rnacentral:rRNA from 1 species
CCAGACUCCUACGGGAGGCAGCAGUGGGGAAUAUUGCACAAUGGGGGGAACCCUGAUGCAGCGACGCCGCGUGGGUGAAGGAGCACCUCGGUGCGUAAAGCCCUAUCGGCAGGGAAGAAACAGACGGUACCUGACUAAGAAGCCCCGGCUAACUCCGUGCCAGCAGCCGCGGUAAUACGGAGGAUCCGAGCGUUAUCCGGAUUCAUUGGGUUUAAAGGGUGCGUAGGUUGUUUUAUAAGUUAGCGGUGAAAUACCGAUGCUCAACAUCGGGGCUGCCGCUAAUACUGUAGGACUAGAGAUCGGAUGCAGCAGGCGGAAUGUGUAGUGUAGCGGUGAAAUGCAUAGAUAUUACACAGAACACCGAUUGCGAAGGCAGCUUGCUAGGCCGGAUCUGACACUGAUGCACGAAAGCGUGGGGAUCGAACAGGAUUAGAUACCCCAGUA